GAAAUACUCCCUUCGUCCAGAAAUACUCGUCUUCAAAAUGGAUAAAAAGAGAUGUAUCUAGAACUAAAAUACAUCUAGAUACAUCCCCUUUUAUCCAUUUUGAUGACAAGUAUUUCCGGACGGAGGGAGUAGAAA
rfam:Triticum aestivum genome assembly, contig: Triticum_aestivum_CS42_TGACv1_scaffold_327852_4BS